rnacentral:rRNA from 1 species
UACGUAGGGCGCAAGCGUUGUCCGGAAUUAUUGGGCGUAAAGAGCUCGUAGGCGGUCUGUCGCGUCUGCCGUGAAAACCCGAGGCUUAACCUCGGGCUGGCGGUGGAUACGGGCAGACUAGAGGUAGGUAGGGGAGAAUGGAAUUCCCGGUGUAGCGGCGAAAUGCGCAGAUAUCGGGAGGAACACCGGUGGCGAAGGCGGUUCUCUGGGCCUUACCUGACGCUGAGGAGCGAAAGCGUGAGGAGCGAACAGG